rnacentral:rRNA from 1 species
AUUGAACGCUGGCGGCAUGCUUUACACAUGCAAGUCGAACGGCAGCGGGGGCUUCGGCCCGCCGGCGAGAGGCGAACGGGUGAGUAAUGCAUCGGAACGUGCCCAGUCAUGGGGGAUAACUACGCGAAAGCGUAGCUAAUACCGCAUACGCCCUGAGGGGGAAAGUGGGGGAUCGAAAGACCUCACGUGAUUGGAGCGGCCGAUGUCAGAUUAGCUAGUUGGUGAGGUAAAGGCUCACCAAGGCGACGAUCUGUAGCGGGUCUGAGAGGAUGAUCCGCCACACUGGGACUGAGACACGGCCCAGACUCCUACGGGAGGCAGCAGUGGGGAAUUUUGGACAAUGGGCGAAAGCCUGAUCCAGCCAUGCCGCGUGAGGGAAGAAGGCCUUCGGGUUGUAAAGCUCUUUCGGACGGGAAGAAAUGGCGAGCUCUAACAUAGCUUGUCGAUGACGGUACCGUAAGAAGAAGCACCGGCUAACUACGUGCCAGCCGCCGCCGUAA